GGGAAAAAGAAGUUUAAGGACUUGUGUCUUUUCAACGUUGUGUAUGAGGCUCUUAAGAAGAAUUCGUUGGUGAACCAGCAGGAGGCAGAGAGGGCACUGUCGAAAUGGCUCAUUGGGGCAAGAGACAGAGGAGGACGAAGGGCAUCCAGACAGCCAGUGCCAAAUUAAAAAGUACUGAGCAGUGGUGGAAUAUGAGUGAGUGCAGAAAAUUUGUAUUCAGGUACAAGUACAGUUAAACUGUUAAAAUAUUUUCAGUUACAGACAAAACGUUGACACACUGUUACAUUGUUUUUCUGGAACAAUUAUUUUCAUUACCAAUGAAUCUGUUGAUCAUUUUGUCUGUUAUCAGAAAAAUAUUCGUAAAUAAAAAGUUGAAAUCA